rnacentral:rRNA from 1 species
CUGGCUCAGGACGAACGCUGGCGGCACGCUUAACACAUGCAAGUCGAACGAGCGAAAGGUGCUUGCACCUCUAGCUAGUGGCGGACGGGUGAGUAACACGUGAGCAAUCUGCCUUUCGGUGGGGGAUACCAAUUGGAAACGAUUGUUAAUACCCCAUAACAUAACGAAGCCGCAUGACUUUGUUAUCAAAGAUUUAUUGCCGGAAGAUGAGCUCGCGUCUGAUUAGGUAGUUGGUGAGGUAACGGCUCACCAAGCCGACGAUCAGUAGCCGGACUGAGAGGUUGAACGGCCACAUUGGGGCUGAGACACGGCCCAGACUCCUACGGGAGGCAGCAGUGGGGAAUAUUGCACAAUGGGCGAAAGCCUGAUGCAGCGAUGCCGCGUGAGGGAAGAAGGUUUUAGGAUUGUAAACCUCUGUCUUUGGGGACGAUAAUGACGGUACCCAAGGAGGAAGCUCCGGCUAACUACGUGCCAGCCGCCGC